rnacentral:rRNA from 1 species
UACGAGAGGCCCAAACGUUAUUCGGAAUUACUGGGCUUAAAGAGUUCGUAGGCGGCAUUGCAAGUAGGGUGUGAAAGCCCUCGGCUCAACCGAGGAAUUGCGCUCUAAACUGCAGUGCUUGAGGAACCUAGAGGUGAGCAGAACAGAUGGUGGAGCGGUGAAAUGCGUAGAUAUCGAGAGGAACACCUGCGGCGAAGGCGGGUUGCUGGGCCGACACUGACGCUGAUGCGCGAAAGCCAGGGGAGCGAACGGG